AACAGAUGCUAAUACCGCAUAACAGCGUUGUUCGCAUGAACAACGCUUAAAAGAUGGCUUCUCGCUAUCACUUCUGGAUGGACCUGCGGUGCAUUAGCUUGUUGGUGGGGUAAUGGCCUACCAAGGCGAUGAUGCAUAGCCGAGUUGAGAGACUGAUCGGCCACAAUGGGACUGAGACACGGCCCAUACUCCUACGGGAGGCAGCAGUAGGGAAUCUUCCACAAUGGGCGCAAGCCUGAUGGAGCAACACCGCGUGAGUGAAGAAGGGUUUCGGCUCGUUUAGCUCUGUUGUUAAAGAAGAACACGUAUGAGAGUAACUGUUCAUACGUUGACGGUAUUUAACCAGAAAGUCACGGCUAACUACGUGCCAGCAGCCGCGGUAAUACGUAGGUGGCAAGCGUUAUCCGGAUUUAUUGGGCGUAAAGAGAGUGCAGGCGGUUUUCUAAGUCUGAUGUGAAAGCCUUCGGCUUAACCGGAGAAGUGCAUCGGAAACUGGAUAACUUGAGUGC
rnacentral:rRNA from 1 species